CACUACUUUGUUUUGAGGAGCAUCAGCAAUGGAUAGAUAAAUAAAUGUGCUUCUUUGGUUUUAUAAAUACCUCUACCUUUUCUCCAGAAUACAAUAAUUCCUUAUCUUACUGCUUAUACACAGCAAUUUAGAUUCCUCCUAAUUACUAACUAAUUUUAUGGUUAAUGUCACCUCCUUCCUCCUCUCCCUAAAUGCAGACAUGUAUAUUCUUAAAUACAUACGCAUAUCUCAUCAAAAUUAUUUCAGUAUAAGCAUGAAUACCACGAACCAAAAGUUUGGCAUCCCUGCUAUAGUGAAAGAUGACUGCCACCUAUGGUUUUCAGGUACUUAAAAGCAAACAGCCUGAUAAUUCUGUAUAUCCGACUACCAAAGAGAAAAGUGCCCAAUUACGGCUGCUAUACUGUGGUAAGCUGCAUUAAAAUGGACAUUACAAUCUCUUUCUCAGAAAUACCAUACAUAAAAAUUGCUGGAAGUCUAGCAAAUUAAUGCACAUAUUUCACUUUGGGAAAAAAUCUUUUUGCUCCAGUAAACAGAAACUAAUUGUAGCCAUAAUAUUUCUCCCUUUCGGGGCUGGGACAUAUUAUUUCUGAAGGAAGAGAGACAAAGUUAACAAAAGAGAAAAUGAUACUAAAAGAGAGAGCAACAAAUACAAACAAAGAAUAAGUCCAAUACUGAUUUUUUUAAAAAUCUCCCUUUUAAAGUAAUCUUAGUCCUGGGCCUUCUCAUUCGUAUUGUACUUGGCUAAAUAUGAUAACUGGCCUAUCUAAAAAACCCCAAAUCAGUAUUACACUAGCAUUUACCUCCUCCAUUUUCACUACAUAAAAUUAAUACUAAACCUAUAUUAUAAACAUGCAAAAUGCUGUAAAAGUGGUCAGAAAAUGUUGCUCAAAUAUCUGAGGUUCACACAUCACCAUUUCAUGCUUGCUUUCUAACGGCAUCGGUACCCUUUAUAAUCUACAUAAUUCAGAUGCCUGCGGUAAAAUCUGUGCUUCAUAGAAAAAAAACGUCUUCUAGGUAGUCACUGCUCCACAAUACUAUAUUAGUGAUGUAUUUUCCUGAUGUAUUUUAGGCCAAAAAUAGCAUUCUUCAAUUUACUUCCUUGUGCCCACUUUGGCUACUGAAUCAAACUGUCACCGGUACAGUAACAUUCCCCUGUAUUUUCAAACCACUCAGUCUCCUUUGAUGGGAACUUCAUAUCAGACAGAAAUUACUCCUUAGCACAUUUGAUGAAUCCAGCUUAAAAUAAAACACCAGAACUGCAUGAACA
rnacentral:lncRNA from 1 species